AAUGGGCGAAAGCCUGAUCCAGCAAUGCCGCGUGCAGGAUGAAGGCCUUCGGGUUGUAAACUGCUUUUGUACGGAACGAAAAGCUUCGGGUUAAUACCCUGGAGCCAUGACGGUACCGUAAGAAUAAGCACCGGCUAACUACGUGCCAGCAGCCGCGGUAAUACGUAGGGUGCAAGCGUUAAUCGGAAUUACUGGGCGUAAAGCGUGCGCAGGCGGUUUUGUAAGACAGAGGUGAAAUCCCCGGGCUCAACCUGGGAACUGCCUUUGUGACUGCAAGGCUAGAGUACGGCAGAGGGGGAUGGAAUUCCGCGUGUAGCAGUGAAAUGCGUAGAUAUGCGGAGGAACACCGAUGGCGAAGGCAAUCCCCUGGGCCUGUACUGACGCUCAUGCACGAAAGCGUGGGGAGCAAACAGGAUUAGAUACCCUGGUAGUCCACGCCCUAAACGAUGUCAACUGGUUGUUGGGUCUUAACUGACUCAGUAACGAAGCUAACGCGUGAAGUUGACCGCCUGGGGAG
rnacentral:rRNA from 1 species